rnacentral:rRNA from 1 species
GCAGGCCUAACACAUGCAAGUCGAGCGGUAGAGAGAAGCUUGCUUCUCUUGAGAGCGGCGGACGGGUGAGUAAUGCCUAGGAAUCUGCCUGGUAGUGGGGGAUAACGUUCGGAAACGGACGCUAAUACCGCAUACGUCCUACGGGAGAAAGCAGGGGACCUUCGGGCCUUGCGCUAUCAGAUGAGCCUAGGUCGGAUUAGCUAGUUGGUGAGGUAAUGGCUCACCAAGGCGACGAUCCGUAACUGGUCUGAGAGGAUGAUCAGUCACACUGGAACUGAGACACGGUCCAGACUCCUACGGGAGGCAGCAGUGGGGAAUAUUGGACAAUGGGCGAAAGCCUGAUCCAGCCAUGCCGCGUGUGUGAAGAAGGUCUUCGGAUUGUAAAGCACUUUAAGUUGGGAGGAAGGGCAGUUACCUAAUACGUGAUUGUUUUGACGUUACCGACAGAAUAAGCACCGGCUAACUCUGUGCCAGCAGCCGCGGUAAUACAGAGGGUGCAAGCGUUAAUCGGAAUUACUGGGCGUAAAGCGCGCGUAGGUGGUUUGUUAAGUUGGAUGUGAAAUCCCCGGGCUCAACCUGGGAACUGCAUUCAAAACUGACUGACUAGAGUAUGGUAGAGGGUGGUGGAAUUUCCUGUGUAGCGGUGAAAUGCGUAGAUAUAGGAAGGAACACCAGUGGCGAAGGCGACCACCUGGACUGAUACUGACACUGAGGUGCGAAAGCGUGGGGAGCAAACAGGAUUAGAUACCCUGGUAGUCCACGCCGUAAACGAUGUCAACUAGCCGUUGGGAGCCUUGAGCUCUUAGUGGCGCAGCUAACGCAUUAAGUGAACCCUUGGGACGGGCCAAGGAAAU